AUAUACAUACAUACAUACAGACGCAUGCACGAACAGAUAUAUGUCUAAAUACACAUAUACAUACAUACACACACAUGUAUAUAUAUAUAUACACACACACACACACACACUGAAACAUUUUAAGUCACUGUGAUGUUAAAAUCUAUGGCAGCUUUCGGUUGAUUUUUUAAUGUUAUAUAUAUAUAU